UACGUAGGGGGCAAGCGUUGUCCGGAUUUAUUGGGCGUAAAGAGCGUGUAGGCGGCCAGGUAGGUCUGCUGUGAAAACUCGAGGCUUAACCUCGAGCUGUCGGCGGAAACCAUCUGGCUAGAGUCCGGAAGAGGAGAAUGGAAUUCCCGGUGUAGUGGUGAAAUGCGUAGAGAUCGGGAGGAACACCCGUGGCGAAGGCGGCCUGCUGGGCCGAUCCUGACGCUGAGGCGCGAAGGCGUGGGGAGCGAACAGG
rnacentral:rRNA from 1 species